GACGAACGCUGGCGGCGUGCUUAACACAUGCAAGUCGAACGGAAAGGCCCUGCUUUUGUGGGGUGCUCGAGUGGCGAACGGGUGAGUAACACGUGAGUAACCUGCCCUUGACUUUGGGAUAACUUCAGGAAACUGGGGCUAAUACCGGAUAGGAGCUCCUGCUGCAUGGUGGGGGUUGGAAAGUUUCGGCGGUUGGGGAUGGACUCGCGGCUUAUCAGCUUGUUGGUGGGGUAGUGGCUUACCAAGGCUUUGACGGGUAGCCGGCCUGAGAGGGUGACCAGCCACAUUGGGACUGAGAUACGGCCCAGACUCCUACGGGAGGCAGCAGUGGAGAGUAUGACACAAUGGGCGGAAGCCUGAUGCAGCAACGCCGCGUGCGGGAUGACGGCCUUCGGGUUGUAAACCGCUUUCGCCUGUGACGAAGCGUGAGUGACGGUAAUGGGUAAAGAAGCACCGGCUAACUACGUG
rnacentral:rRNA from 1 species